rnacentral:rRNA from 1 species
AGAGUUUGAUCAUGGCUCAGGACGAACGCUGGCGGCGUGCUUAACACAUGCAAGUCGAACGGAAAGGCCCUUCGGGGUACUCGAGUGGCGAACGGGUGAGUAACACGUGGGUGAUCUGCCCUGCACUUUGGGAUAAGCCUGGGAAACUGGGUCUAAUACCGAAUAGGACCACGCGCUUCAUGGUGUGUGGUGGAAAGCUUUUGCGGUGUGGGAUGGGCCCGCGGCCUAUCAGCUUGUUGGUGGGGUAAUGGCCUACCAAGGCGACGACGGGUAGCCGGCCUGAGAGGGUGACCGGCCACACUGGGACUGAGAUACGGCCCAGACUCCUACGGGAGGCAGCAGUGGGGAAUAUUGCACAAUGGGCGCAAGCCUGAUGCAGCGACGCCGCGUGAGGGAUGACGGCUUUCGGGUUGUAAACCUCUUUCACCAGGGACGAAGCGCAAGUGACGGUACCUGGAGAAGAAGCACCGGCCAACUACGUGCCAGCAGCCGCGGUAAUACGUAGGGUGCGAGCGUUGUCCGGAAUUACUGGGCGUAAAGAGCUCGUAGGUGGUUUGUCGCGUUGUUCGUGAAAACUCACAGUUUAACUGUGGGCGUGCGGGCGAUACGGGCAGACUAGAGUACUGCAGGGGAGACUGGAAUUCCUGGUGUAGCGGUGGAAUGCGCAGAUAUCAGGAGGAACACCGGUGGCGAAGGCGGGUCUCUGGGCAGUAACUGACGCUGAGGAGCGAAAGCGUGGGGAGCGAACAGGAUUAGAUACCCCGGUAGUCC